UACAGAGGGGGCGAAGCGUUAUUCGGAAUUAUUGGGCGUAAAGGGCGCGUAGGCGGCCUGGCAAGUGGAAGGUGAAAUCCCUCGGCUUAACCGAGGAACUGCCUUCCAAACUGCUUGGCUUGAGUCCGGGAGAGGUGAGUGGAAUUCCCAGUGUAGAGGUGAAAUUCGUAGAUAUUGGGAAGAACACCGGUGGCGAAGGCGGCUCUCUGGACCGAGACUGACGCUGAGGCGGCGAAAAGCGUGGGGAGCAACAGG
rnacentral:rRNA from 1 species